rnacentral:rRNA from 1 species
AUUGAACGCUGGCGGCAGGCCUAACACAUGCAAGUCGAGCGAGCGGCGGACGGGUGAGUAAUGUCUGGGAAACUGCCUGAUGGAGGGGGAUAACUACUGGAAACGGUAGCUAAUACCGCAUACCAUCAGAUGUGCGCAGAUGGGAUUAGCUAGUAGGUGGGGUAACGGCUCACCUAGGCGACGAUCCCUAGCUGGUCUGAGAGGAUGACCAGCCACACGGGGACUGAGACACGGUCCAGACUCCUACGGGAGGCAGCAGUGGGGAAUAUUGGGCAAUGGGCGCAAGCCUGACCCAGCCAUGCCGCGUGUGUGAAGAAGGCCUUCGGGUUGUAAAGCACUUUUAUCGGAGAGGCGUUACCUGAAGAAGAAGCACCGGCUAACUCCGUGCCAGCAGCCGCGGUAAUAC